GAACGCUGGCGGCGUGCUUAACACAUGCAAGUCGAACGAGGAUUUAAUGGAAUGCGAUUCGUCAAAUGAAAUUAGAUCCGAGUGGCGGACGGGUGAGUAACGCGUGGAUAACCUGCCUCACACAGGGGGACAACAGUUGGAAACGGCUGCUAAUACCGCAUAACAUGAGCUGACCGCAUGGUUGACUCAUCAAAGAUUUUAUCGGUGUGAGAUGGAUCCGCGUCUGAUUAGCCAGUUGGCGGGGUAAAGGCCCACCAAAGCGACGAUCAGUAGCCGACCUGAGAGGGUGACCGGCCACAUUGGGACUGAGACACGGCCCAAACUCCUACGGGAGGCAGCAGUGGGGAAUAUUGCACAAUGGGCGAAAGCCUGAUGCAGCGACGCCGCGUGAAGGAUGAAGUAUUUCGGUAUGUAAACUUCUAUCAGCAGGGAAGAAAAUGACGGUACCUGACUAAGAAGCCCCGGCUAACUACGUG
rnacentral:rRNA from 1 species